GGGGCGCCAAGUUCGUCCAGCGGAAAAAGGCCACAAAAACGGGUGGGCUAUAGCCUUGGGGGGUGGGGCUGGCCAACUUCGUCCGCCGGACUCGGAAUGCCACGAGACUAUGCGAGGGGCCUCCGUGUGCCAAAAAUAGGCCUUGGGCAAAGCCGCGCCCAAAAAUAACCGGCCGAAAGCCGGGGCGCCAAGUUCGUCCAGCGGAAAAAGGCCACAAAAACGGGUGGGCUAUAGCCUUGGGGGGUGGGGCUGGCCAACUUUGUCCGCCGGAUACGGAAAGCCGCGACACUUUGCGAGGCGCCUCCGUGUGCCAAAAAUAGGCCGCGGGCAAAGCCGCGCCCAAAAAUAACCGCCCGAAGGCCGGGGCGCCAAGUUCGUCCAGCGGAAAAAGGCCACAAAAACGGGUGGGCUAUAGCCUUGGGGGGUGGGGCUGGCCAACUUCGUCCGCCGGACUCGGAAUGCCGCGAGACUUUGCGAGGGGCCUCCGUAUGCCAAAAAUAGGCCGCGGGCAAAGCCGCGCCCAAAAAUAACCGCCCGAAGGCCGGGGCGCCAAGUUCGUCCAGCGGAAAAAGGCCACAAAAACGUGUGGGCUAUAGCCUUGGGGGGUGGGGCUGGCCAACUUCGUCCGCCGGACUCGGAAUGCCGCGAGACUUUGCGAGGGGCCUCCGUGUGCCAAAAAUAGGGCGCGGUUAUAGCCGCGCCAAAAAAUAACCACCCGAAAGCCGGGGCGCCAAGUUCGUCCAGCGGAAAAAGGCCACAAAAACGGGUGGGCAAUAGCCUUGGGGGGUGGGGCUGGCCAACUUCGUCCGCCGGACUCGGAAUGCCGCGAGACUUUGCGAGGCGCCUCCGUGUGCCAAAAAUAAGUCGCGGGCCGAGCCGCGUCUAAAAAUAACCGCCCGAAGGCUGGGGCGCCAAGUUCGUCCAGCGGAAAAAGGCCACAAAAACGGGUGGGCUAUAGCCUUGGGGGGUGGGGCCGGCCAACUUCGUCCGCAGGACUCGGAAUGCCGCGAGACUAUGCGAGGGGCCUCCGUGUGCCAAAAAUAGGCCUCGGGCAAAGCCACGCCCAAAAAUAACCGCCCGAAGGCCGGGGCGCCAAGUUCGUCCAGCGGAAAAAGGCCACAAAAACGGGUGGGCUAUAGCCUUGGGGGGUGGGGCUGGCCAACUUUGUCCGCCGGAUACGGAAAGCCGCGACACUUUGCGAGGCGCCUCCGUGUGCCAAAAAUAGGCCGCGGGCAAAGCCGCGCCCAAAAAUAACCGCCCGAAGGCCGGGGCGCCAAGUUCGUCCAGCGGAAAAAGGCCACAAAAACGGGUGGGCUAUAGCCUUGGGGGGUGGGGCUGGCCAACUUCGUCCGCCGGACUCGGAAUGCCGCGAGACUUUGCGAGGGGCCUCCGUGUGCCAAAAAUAGGUCGCGGUUAUAGCCGCGCCAAAAAAUAACCGCCCGAAGGCCGGGGCGCCAAGUUCGUCCAGCGGAAAAAGGCCACAAAAACGGGUGGGCUAUAGCCUUGGGGGGUGGGGCUGGCCAACUUCGUCCGCCGGACUCGGAAUGCCGCGAGACUUUGCGAGGCGCCUCCGUGUGCCAAAAAUAAGUCGCGGGCCGAGCCGCGUCUAAAAAUAACCGCCCGAAGGCUGGGGCGCCAAGUUCGUCCAGCGGAAAAAGGCCACAAAAACGGGUGGGCUAUAGCCUUGGGGGGUGGGGCUGGCCAACUUCGUCCGCCGGACUCGGAAUGCCACGAGACUAUGCGAGGGGCCUCCGUGUGCCAAAAAUAGGCCUUGGGCAAAGCCGCGCCCAAAAAUAACCGGCCGAAAGCCGGGGCGCCAAGUUCGUCCAGCGGAAAAAGGCCACAAAAACGGGUGGGCUAUAGCCUUGGGGGGUGGGGCUGGCCAACUUUGUCCGCCGGAUUCGGAAAGCCGCGACACUUUGCGAGGGGCCUCCGUGUGCCAAAAAUAGGCCGCGGGCAAAGCUGCGCCCAAAAAUAACCGCCCGAAGGCCGGGGCGCCAAGUUCGUCCAGCGGAAAAAGGCCGCAAAAACGGGUGGGCUAUAGCCUUGGGGGGUGGGGAUGGCCAACUUUGUCCGCCGGACUCGGAAUGCCGCGAGACUUUGCGAGGGGCCUCCGUGUGCCAAAAAUAGGCCGCGGGCAAAGCCGCGCCCAAAAAUAACCGCCCGAAGGCCGGGGCGCCAAGUUCAUCCAGCAGAAAAAGGCCACAAAAACGGGUGGGCUAUAGCCUUGGGGGGUGGGGCUGGCCAACUUCGUCCGCCGGACUCGGAAUGCCGCGAGACUUUGCGAGGGGCCUCCGUGUGCCAAAAAUAGGGCGCGGUCAUAGCCGCGCCAAAAAAUAACCACCCGAAAGCCAGGGCGCCAAGUUCGUCCAGCGGAAAAAGGCCACAAAAACGGGUGGGCAAUAGCCUUGGGGGGUGGGGCUGGCCAACUUCGUCCGCCGGACUCGGAAUGCCGCGAGACUUUGCGAGGCGCCUCCGUGUGCCAAAAAUAAGUCGCGGGCUGAGCCGCGUCUAAAAAUAACCGCCCGAAGGCUGGGGCGCCAAGUUCGUCCAGCGGAAAAAGGCCACAAAAACGGGUGGGCUAUAGCCUUGGGGGGUGGGGCUGGCCAACUUCGUCCGCCGGACUCGGAAUGCCGCGAGACUUUGCGAGGGGCCUCCGUGUGCCAAAAAUAGGCCGCGGGCAUAGCCGCACCCAAAAAUAACCGCCCGAAGGCCCGGGCGCCAAGUUCGUCCAGGCGGACGAAAGGCCACGAAAAACGGGUGGGCUAUAGACUUGGGGGGUGGGGCUGGCCAACUUCGUCCGCCUUACUCGGAAUGCCGCGAGACUUUGCGAGGGUCCUCUGUGUGCCAAAAAUAGGCCGC
rnacentral:lncRNA from 1 species